CCUACGGGAGGCAGCAGUGGGGAAUAUUGCACAAUGGGGGAAACCCUGAUGCAGCGACGCCGCGUGAGUGAAGAAGUAAUUCGUUAUGUAAAGCUCUAUCAGCAGGGAAGAAAAUGACGGUACCUGAGUAAGAAGCCCCGGCUAACUACGUGCCAGCAGCCGCGGUAAUACGUAGGGUGCGAGCGUUAAUCGGAAUUACUGGGCGUAAAGCGCUCGUAGGCGGGAUGUCAAGUCAAGGGUGAAAUCCCCGCGCUCAAAGUGGGAACUGCCUUUGAAACUGGCAAGCUGGAGUGGGUGAGAGGAUAGUGGAAUUCCAGGUGGAGGAGUGGAAUCGGUAGAUAACUGGAGGGACAUCAGUGGCGAAGGCGACUAUCUGGGACAUAACUGACGCUGAGGGGCGAAAGCGUGGGUAGCAAACAGGAUUAGAUACCCCUGGUAGUC
rnacentral:rRNA from 1 species